rnacentral:rRNA from 1 species
GAGUAAUACAUCGGAACGUGCCUAGUAGUGGGGGAUAACUACUCGAAAGAGUGGCUAAUACCGCAUGAGAUCUACGGAUGAAAGCAGGGGAUCGCAAGACCUUGUGCUACUAGAGCGGCCGAUGGCAGAUUAGGUAGUUGGUGGGAUAAAAGCUUACCAAGCCAACGAUCUGUAGCUGGUCUGAGAGGACGAUCAGCCACACUGGGACUGAGACACGGCCCAGACUCCUACGGGAGGCAGCAGUGGGGAAUUUUGGACAAUGGGCGAAAGCCUGAUCCAGCAAUGCCGCGUGCAGGAUGAAGGCCUUCGGGUUGUAAACUGCUUUUGUACGGAACGAAAAGCUUCGGGUUAAUACCCUGAAGUCAUGACGGUACCGUAAGAAUAAGCACCGGCUAACUACGUGCCAGCAGCCGCGGUAAUACGUAGGGUGCAAGCGUUAAUCGGAAUUACUGGGCGUAAAGCGUGCGCAGGCGGUUUUGUAAGACAGAGGUGAAAUCCCCGGGCUCAACCUGGGAACUGCCUUUGUGACUGCAAGGCUAGAGUACGGCAGA